rnacentral:rRNA from 1 species
UACAGAGAUCUCAAGCGUUUGUUCGGAUUCAUUGGGCGUAAAGGGCGCGUAGGCGGCCUGCUAAGUCGGACGUGAAAUCCCUCGGCUCAACCGGGGAACUGCGUCCGAUACUGGUUGGGCUUGAAUUCGGGAGAGGGAUGCGGAAUUCCAGGUGUAGCGGUGAAAUGCGUAGAUAUCUGGAGGAACACCGGUGGCGAAGGCGGCGAUCC